AUUGAACGCUGGCGGCAUGCCUUACACAUGCAAGUCGAACGGCAGCACGGGUGCUUGCCCCUGGUGGCGAGUGGCGCACGGGUGAGUAAUACAUCGGAACAUGUCCUGUAGUGGGGGAUAGCCCGGCGAAAGCCGGAUUAAUACCGCAUACGAUCUACGGAUGAAAGCGGGGGACCUUCGGGCCUCGCGCUAUAGGGUUGGCCGAUGGCUGAUUAGCUAGUUGGUGGGGUAAAGGCCUACCAAGGCGACGAUCCGUAGAUGGUCUGAGAGGACGACCAGCCACACUGGGACUGAGACACGGCCCAGACUCCUACGGGAGGCAGCAGUGGGGAAUUUUGGACAAUGGGCGAAAGCCUGAUCCAGCAAUGCCGCGUGUGUGAAGAAGGCCUUCGGGUUGUAAAGCACUUUUGUCCGGAAAUAAAUCCUUGGCUCUAAUACAGUCGGGGGAUGACGGUACCGGAAGAAGAAGCACCGGCUAACUACGUG
rnacentral:rRNA from 1 species